GAAUCUGCAUCACACCUCCUAUUCCAAUGCAGAUUUUCCCAACGUGUUUGGGCUAAUGUGGCUUCAUGGAUCGGCAUAAACAGUGCUGUAGUUGCAGGCUGGCGUCACGAAAUUUCUGUAAAGGAAUGGUGGUUCAAGACUAUCCUAGAUAGGGCCCCCCCGAGGAAGGCUCUGGCCUCCAUGCUCAUGCUUGUUUCCUGGGAACUCUGGAAUGAGCGCAAUGCAAGAGUUUUUAGGAAUGCCGCUACCACGGUGAUCAUGAUCACUGCUAGGAUAAAGGAGGAGGCUCGUAUUUGGGCGCUUGCAGGCGCUAGGCACCUCUGUAAUGUAAUGCCGCGAGAGUAG
rnacentral:rRNA from 1 species